rnacentral:rRNA from 1 species
AUUGAACGCUGGCGGCAUGCCUUACACAUGCAAGUCGAACGGCAGCACGGGAGCAAUCCUGGUGGCGAGUGGCGAACGGGUGAGUAAUAUAUCGGAACGUGCCCAGUCGUGGGGGAUAACGUAGCGAAAGCUACGCUAAUACCGCAUACGAUCUAUGGAUGAAAGCGGGGGAUCGCAAGACCUCGCGCGAUUGGAGCGGCCGAUAUCAGAUUAGGUAGUUGGUGAGGUAAAGGCUCACCAAGCCGACGAUCUGUAGCUGGUCUGAGAGGACGACCAGCCACACUGGGACUGAGACACGGCCCAGACUCCUACGGGAGGCAGCAGUGGGGAAUUUUGGACAAUGGGCGCAAGCCUGAUCCAGCAAUGCCGCGUGCAGGAUGAAGGCCUUCGGUUGG